rnacentral:rRNA from 1 species
UUUUUCGGUGCGAGCUACCAUGCAGUCGACGGUAACGAAAGAAGCUUGCUUCUUUGCUGACGAGUGGCGGACGGGUGAGUAAUGCUUGGGAAUUUGCCUUUGCGAGGGGGAUAACAGUUGGAAACGACUGCUAAUACCGCAUAACGUCUACGGACCAAAGGGGGCUUAGGCUCUCGCGUGAAGAGAAGCCCAAGUGGGAUUAGCUAGUUGGUGGGGUAAAGGCUCACCAAGGCGACGAUCCCUAGCUGUUCUGAGAGGAUGAUCAGCCACACUGGGACUGAGACACGGCCCAGACUCCUACGGGAGGCAGCAGUGGGGAAUAUUGCACAAUGGGGGAAACCCUGAUGCAGCCAUGCCGCGUGUGUGAAGAAGGCCUUCGGGUUGUAAAGCACUUUCAGUGGUGAGGAAAGGUUAACGGUUAAUACCCGUUAGCUGUGACGUUAGCCACAGAAGAAGCACCGGCUAACUCCGUGCCAGCAGCCGCGGUAAUACGGAGGGUGCGAGCGUUAAUCGGAAUUACUGGGCGUAAAGCGCACGCAGGCGGUUUGUUAAGCAAGAUGUGAAAGCCCCGGGCUCAACCUGGGAACUGCAUUUUGAACUGGCAGACUAGAGUCUUGGAGAGGGGGGUGGAAUUCCAGGUGUAGCGGUGAAAUGCGUAGAGAUCUGGAGGAACAUCAGUGGCGAAGGCGGCCCCCUGGCCAAAGACUGACGCUCAUGUGCGAAAGUGUGGGUAGCGAACAGGAUUAGAUACCCUGGUAGUCCACACCGUAAACGCUGUCUACUAGCUGUCUGUGUAUUUAAUACGUGGGUAGCGUAGCUAACGCGCUAAGUAGACCGCCUGGGGAGUA